rnacentral:rRNA from 1 species
UACGUAGGGGGCAAGCGUUGUCCGGAAUCAUUGGGCGUAAAGAGCGUGUAGGCGGUCCAGUAAGUCCGCUGUGAAAGUCAAGGGCUCAACCCUUGAAUGCCGGUGGAUACUGCUGGACUAGAGUCCGGAAGAGGCGAGUGGAAUUCCUGGUGUAGCGGUGAAAUGCGCAGAUAUCAGGAGGAACACCUAUGGCGAAGGCAGCUCGCUGGGACGGUACUGACGCUGAGACGCGAAAGCGUGGGGAGCAAACAGG